rnacentral:rRNA from 1 species
GACGAACGCUGGCGGCGUGCCUAAUACAUGCAAGUAGAACGCACAGUUUAUACCGUAGCUUGCUACACCAUAGACUGUGAGUUGCGAACGGGUGAGUAACGCGUAGGUAACCUGCCUGGUAGCGGGGGAUAACUAUUGGAAACGAUAGCUAAUACCGCAUAAUAUUGAUUAUUGCAUGAUAAUUGAUUGAAAGAUGCUAUUGCAUCACUACCAGAUGGACCUGCGUUGUAUUAGCUAGUAGGUGAGGUAACGGCUCACCUAGGCGACGAUACAUAGCCGACCUGGAAGGGUGAUCGGCCACACUGGGACUGGGACACGGCCCAAGCUCCUACGGGAGGCAGCAAGAGGGAAACUUUGGCAAUGGACGAAAGUCUGACCGAGCAACGCCGCGGGAGUGAAGGAGGGUUUCGGAUCGUAAAGCUCUGUUGUAAGAGAAGAACGGGUGUGAGAGUGGAAAGUUCACACUGUGACGGUAGCUUACCAGAAAGGGACGGCUAACUACGUG